GGAGAGGUGACCGAGUGGCUGAAGGUGCACGACUGGAAAUCGUGUGUACUGCAAGGUACCGCGGGUUCGAAUCCCGCCCUCUCCGCCA
rnacentral:tRNA from 1 species